GGCGAUAUAGUGUAGUGGUUAUCACUCGGGAUUCUGAUUCUUUCACAACUUCCCGAAACCCAGGUUCGAGCCCUGGUAUCGCCU
rnacentral:tRNA from 1 species